AUUCAGCGGCGGACGGGUGAGUAAUGCCUAGGAAUCUGCCUGGUAGUGGGGGAUAACGUCCGGAAACGGGCGCUAAUACCGCAUACGUCCUGAGGGAGAAAGUGGGGGAUCUUCGGGCCUCACGCUAUCAGAUGAGCCUAGGUCGGAUUAGCUAGUUGGUGGGGUAAAGGCCUACCAAGGCGACGAUCCGUAACUGGUCUGAGAGGAUGAUCAGUCACACUGGAACUGAGACACGGUCCAGACUCCUACGGGAGGCAGCAGUGGGGAAUAUUGGACAAUGGGCGAAAGCCUGAUCCAGCCAUGCCGCGUGUGUGAAGAAGGUCUUCGGAUUGUAAAGCACUUUAAGUUGGGAGGAAGGGCAGUAAGUUAAUACCUUGCUGUUUUGACGUUACCAACAGAAUAAGCACCGGCUAACUUCGUGCCAGCAGCCGCGGUAAUACGAAGGGUGCAAGCGUUAAUCGGAAUUACUGGGCGUAAAGCGCGCGUAGGUGGUUCAGCAAGUUGGAUGUGAAAUCCCCGGGCUCAACCUGGGAACUGCAUCCAAAACUACUGAGCUAGAGUACGGUAGAGGGUGGUGGAAUUUCCUGUGUAGCGGUGAAAUGCGUAGAUAUAGGAAGGAACACCAGUGGCGAAGGCGACCACCUGGACUGAUACUGACACUGAGGUGCGAAAGCGUGGGGAGCAAACAGGAUUAGAUAUCCCUGGUAGUCCACGCCGUAAACGAUGUCGACUAGCCGUUGGGAUCCUUGAGAUCUUAGUGGCGCAGCUAACGCGAUAAG
rnacentral:rRNA from 1 species